UACGGAGGGUGCAAGCGUUAUCCGGAUUCACUGGGUUUAAAGGGUGCGUAGGUGGGUCUGUAAGUCAGUGGUGAAAUCUCCGUGCUUAACAUGGAAACUGCCAUUGAUACUAUAGGUCUUGAAUUAUCUGGAGGUUAGCGGAAUAUGUCAUGUAGCGGUGAAAUGCUUAGAUAUGACAUAGAACACCAAUUGCGAAAGGCAGCUGGCUACAGGUAACAUUGACACUGAGGCACGAAAGCGUGGGGAUCAAACAGG
rnacentral:rRNA from 1 species